rnacentral:rRNA from 1 species
UACAGAGGUGGCGAGCGUUGUUCGGAUUUACUGGGCGUAAAGGGUGCGUAGGUGGUUCCUUAUGUCGAAUGUGAAAGCUCACUGCUCAACGGUGAAAUGGCAUUCGAAACUGAGGAACUAGAGUGCAGGAGAGGAGAGCGGAAUUCUUGGUGUAGCGGUGGAAUGCGUUGAUAUCAAGAAGAACACCGGUGGCGAAGGCGGCUCUCUGGAAUGCAACUGACACUGAGGCACGAAAGUUGGGGGAGCAAACAGG